rnacentral:rRNA from 1 species
UACGAAGGGGGCUAGCGUUGCUCGGAAUUACUGGGCGUAAAGCGCACGUAGGCGGAUUGUUAAGUCGGGGGUGAAAUCCUGGAGCUCAACUCCAGAACUGCCUUCGAUACUGGCGAUCUCGAGUUCGGGAGAGGUGAGUGGAACUGCGAGUGUAGAGGUGAAAUUCGUAGAUAUUCGCAAGAACACCAGUGGCGAAGGCGGCUCACUGGCCCGGUACUGACGCUGAGGCACGAAAGCGUGGGAGCAAACAGGG